rnacentral:rRNA from 1 species
AACGAACGCUGGCGGCAGGCCUAAAACAUGCAAGUCGAACGCCCCGCAAGGGGAGUGGCGCACGGGUGAGUAACGCGUGGGAACGUGCCCUUCACUACGGGACAACGUCGGGAAACUGACGCUAAUACCGUAUAAUGACUCCAGUCCAAAGAUUUAUCGGUGAAGGAGCGGCCCGCGUCUGAUUAGCUAGUUGGUGAGGUAAAGGCUUACCAAGGCUACGAUCAGUAGCAGGUCUGAGAGGAUGAUCUGCCACACUGGGACUGAGACACGGCCCAGACUCCUACGGGAGGCAGCAGUUAGGAAUAUUGGACAAUGGGCGAAAGCCUGAUCCAGCCAUGCCGCGUGUGUGAUGAAGGCCCUAGGGUUGUAAAGCACUUUCGUUGGGGAUGAUAAUGACCGUACCCAAAGAAGAAGCACCGGCUAACUUCGUGCCAGCCGCCGCGGUAA